UGAGAUUGCCCUUUGUGAUAGAGAAGGAGAUGCUGGUGGAGAUUUGGGGGUUUCAGGUUCAUGGUCUCCCUUGGUGCUGGUGGAGCUUGAACUUGCUGUGGUUACCUCAGGUAUGGAUGCUUGCUUGGCGGAUGUAGUUCCUGUUCUUGCUCUGAGAGACAUAAUUAAUCUUGGGGAUUUGCAAGAUUAUGAUUUUUUUUUGGUUGGUGAAUACAGGAG
rnacentral:misc_RNA from 1 species